CUAUUUAUAAACAAGUUCUGGAGUAGGUUAACAAGGACGAAUGUCUUUCGCUGACUGCGAUACUAUAGUCUAUUAUCUAUAGUUUAAAAUUUAUUCAGUUCUCCUAUACGUAUCAGUCUGCACAAUUUCCCGUAUAUUAUCCCAAUGUACUGAUCCAUUGCCUGGCAAUCCAUGAGGUAACUUGGCAAAAAGCCAAGGUAUAAUUAUAACAACUAUUUCGAAACUGGCAAACGUCGACUCAUUCACCUUCAUUUGAAGAAUGUUGAGAGAAGGUUUCGGUCAGAAUUCAAAACCUUAAACUUCUAGUGAAACCUCUCGUUUCAAUGCUUGCUUUCCUCCCUUCUUCUUUCCCUGCAAAUUUCUGAUACCUUUCAAUAUUUUAUUACGAUGUCCGACCAAAUUUAUUCCCAUCUCCUUCAGAUCGUCUUCUUUGAUCCCGUAUAGCUCACAAGGUCUCUGAUAUCCCGCUGCUGUAAAAUUUUUCACGUAUUCUUCCAUUUU